UUGGACAGCAAGUCAGCAACUUAUUCUAGCCAGACACUCUAAGCAUGAAACUUAUUACAUGGAGGCAUGCGCAUGCAUGGCGAGCGCAUAGCUCGGCUGCAUAGCUAUCAUUCCUCCUUGCCGCAAUCUUGGGUGGAGCCGGACUGGAGGUGGAGCUUGCAGUUCUUGCCGUUCCUGGGCGCGCAGUCGCAGAUGCAGCCCUCCAGCUUCUGGUAAGGGUAGUUGUCGCAGGUGAUGUACCCGCCCUGGAUGCACCGGACCAGCGAGCAGUCCACCCUGCUCUUCCUGGCCGCAGCAACCUGCUCGCCGAACACGACGAGCCCUGAAGAAGAAGAAGAAUCGAUUGAGAUUCACACGAGUCAGAACUCAGAACACCACUUCGUUAUGGUUAUGGACGAUCACUUUGCAGGACUGGGGGUCGAUCGAUGCGAGCGUGCGUGCGUACCGGAGAGGAGGAGGACGAAGGCGAGCGAGAGCUUCAUGGAGACAGCUGCAGCCAUGUCGAUCGGUUCGGUUGGCAGGAGCACGGUGCACGGCCCGGGCGUGUACGCGAGUGCAUAUAUAUACGAAAAGGAGAUGCAGAUCACGAGCUGCCACUCAUCAUCGUCGUCGUCGUCGGCCGCCGUGCUGUGGCUUCGGCGAAACUGUCCGGAUACGCCGCUUCCUCUGACCCGCCGUACGCGCCGCACCGGCCCACGAGGGUCUGACGCGAGCUCGCGCGUCGGGAUAGGCGAAGCCAGCGGUGGCCGUGUGCCAUUUCCUGCCUGACUAGUGAUUGGCGCGCGCGCGUAGAAUUGCACGAUUUUGUACCAUGUCUUAUACAAAAUAGUAAAAGUGGAUACGAUUUUAUACCAUAUUUUAUACAAAUAGAAAAAUGAAUACGAGACAACAAGAACAUCUUACUGUUACUAAUUGGAGGCUGCUUUUGAAGCCUCCAGGUGAAGCCACCUAGGAUUCCUAGGUGGACACUCUAGAAAAAGAGAGAAAUCCUAGAAAUUCUCAAAAAAACCAAAACAUCCGACCAUUGAUCUAUAGAUUCAAAUCAUCAUAGCCAUUAAAUCUAUUAUGUUUUCUAAAAAAUUACCCACCUAUGCCAUUAUGAAAAUAACCUAAAGUAACCCCCUAAAUCUAUAUAUAAAUUACCUACCUCUGCCAUUAUAUAAAAUAAACUAAAAUAACCCCCUAAUCUUCAUCAAAAUUACUCACUUAUGUCAUUAUAAACAAUAUUUAAAAUAACCUCCUAAUUUGCAACCAAAUUGCCCACCGCUAUUAAACUUAAAGUAACCUGUUAAAUUUGCAUCUAUAUUACCCACACAUGCCAUCAUUAAAAAUAACAUGAUAACCCUACGUUUGAAUCAAAUAACCUUAAUUAAAAUAUACAACAAUAUAUGAUUCUAAAUCGUCUAUAUCUUGCACUAUUGGUAUAUGAUAUAAUAAUUAAGGUCUAUACACAUGAUGUGUCACCAUUUAUAAAGAUAUAGAGGAAGUGAUGAGAAUAUAGAUUUCUAUGUUAAAAUUGUAUCACAAACUUAGGGUUCAUUAAACAAAUUCAAACGCAUACCUGCGAUGCAAAGUGAAAAGUUAAAGAUUAUAAAUGUGGAUGAAAAUAUUAUAGAGUAAUUACUAACUAAAAUCUAUGACAAUUAGAUGAAGAUAAUAAGUAUAUAUCUAUUGUGUUUGAAUAUUUAACAAACGAGAGGUAGCUUAUGGUAAUAUUUUUGAGCAAUGUAGUCCCAUUUUUUUCAUUGGAGACUCCACAUUAGUUCCCAUGAGACAAGCUAGAAAAAAAAGAGACAAAUUCUCAUAAAAAUCAAAAAUAUCAAACACCAAUCCUAUAAACUCUAAUAAUCAUAGCCAUUAAUCUAUUAUAUUUUCUAAAAAGUUACCCACCACUAUCAUUGUGAAAAUAUUCAAAAAUGAGCUCUAAACAAAUUACCGAGCUCAGCUAUUAUAAAAAAUAAUCUAAAGUAAUCCCAUAAUCUUCAUCGAAUUUACUAAUACAUAUCAUUAUAAAGUAUAACUUAAAAAGUCAUUCUAAAAUUUUAUCUAUAUUACCCACGUAAGUUGUUAUUAAAAAUAACCUAAAAUAAACAUCUAAAUCUUAAUCUAAUUAUCUUCAUGUGCAUCAUGGAUAAAUGUCAAAAAUAAACUAAUAUAUGAUUCUAAAUUACCUAUUUAUGUCAUUAUUAAUAUAAAAAUACUAAGUUAAAGUAUAUACACAUGAUGAGUGUCACCAUUUAGACCAUUUAUGCAUGUACGUCAGGAAUCGAUGAAAAAUAUUGAUUUGUAUGCUAAACAUAAUGUAUGGAGGAUUGGAGGUGCGAUACAAAAUGGAAAAAGUAUGAAUAUGGAUGAAAAAGUGCAUAGAGUAAUUAUUAAUUAAAAAUCAAUCACAAUUGGACAAAGAUAGGUACAUAUCUAUAUAAGUAUUAUGUUGACGUAUUGAAAAAAAUAAGAGAGUAGUAGGUAAUCAAUUUUGAUUAUUAGCUAGGAGUUUAAUUUCUAAAUAAUUUUCAAAUACAAUAGCUUCUAAAAAUAUUAGCCCGUGCGGGAGCACGGGUUGAUGGACUAGUAUAAUUUAAUAUUGCAACAACAUUUUGGCAAACUAUAUCCCGAGAAUAUGGUGGCAUAGCCACGAAAAAGUAUUGUGCCAUUGUCACAAAAAGAAUUUAAGCUUCAAUUGAACAAAACAAAUUCACAAGAGUCAAUUUCACUUGGCAUACAAACCAAGUACAUUUUUUUACGUACUAAGUAGACGAAGAAGUCAGCACUUGCAAGUUUGAGACUGUUGAGAUAAUAGCGUAAAUUUAUAAAAACUGACACGUACGAUAAUUAUCCAACAGAGGGAUAAUUAUAAACUCAAGCUAACCUAUCAGGCUCGGUUGAGUAGCAAUCAGAGGACGAAUAAGAGACAAUAAUCUGCACUGUUUUACCAAACCUAAUAUUUUCAGAACAGAGGACGGACAAGAGGCAACAGCCUUUCUCUGCUUUACAAAACCUAAAAUUUUCAGAACAAGAAUUCAGAAAUCAUAUAAUAAAUAGUAAUAUUUAAUUGUUUGCAACGCAAUGAAAGAUGAGGGGAAAAGCUGAUACCUAAUUUUUGACAUGGGAUGAGAAGUACAAAGAUACAUCUAAUUGGCCACGCUCUGGUUGGCGUUGCUAUGUCGCAGUAGUUCAUAUUGAAGAAAAAACUGUAGUCAACCUGCGGCGAAGUAGAAAAGAAUGAGUCUGCUUUCUGCAAUCACUUUGCAUGAGAAAAUAGUAAUGGUACUAAUCAACUAAAGGUAUAAUGUUUAACACACUGAUCAAUACUACAAAUUGGUUGAAGUCUAGCCGCCUCCCUCCCCCGUGACGCACCGGCUCUCCACGCCUCUCCUUUGUCGCCUCCGUGGCUUCGUACCUUCGGCCACGCAUCCCCCAUGCCUCACCUGGCCGCCUGUGCCACCCGUAACCACGCCGUUCUUUUGGUGUUGUCAGGCUUGGCGUCAGCAUGCGGUGCAUUCUGAAGUUCCGGUCAGCGGGAGCGGAUCUAAGCCCUUGUUUACUUCACCCCCCAACUCCCAAUUUUGGCACUAUGCAAAAAGAAGAUUAUCAUCACAUCAAACUUACGGUACAUGCAUGGAGUACUAAAUGUAGAUGGAAUUAAAAACUAAUUGCACAGUUUUGUUGUACUUUGCGAGACAAAUCUUUUGAGCCUAAUUAGUUAAUGUUUGGACAAUAAUUCACAAAUACAAACGAAAUGCUACAGUGUGCUACAGUGCCAGCACAGUAAUUUGGUACCUCCCAAUUUAGCCAACUAAACAAGGCCUAACAGAGAUCGGAUAGCUUUUAACAUAAGCCACUGCUUCGCUGCAAAUCAGUAUAGAACAGCUAGACCACACUUGGAUUGGUCAAGUCCUCGAGUUCACACCGAAUCUAGUGAAACAUAGUAUGGAGUAUUAGUAACGGUCUGGCCAGUGGCCUGGAUUACAAAUCUGAGACUGAACCCCGAUCGCGCGCCGAUCAAACUUCUGCAGACCAAAACUUUAUAUCACGCGUGACAUCAUUCACAUCCCAGGACUGAGAUCUUGCGUCGAUGCAACUAAAAAAAACUAAGAGGUACAGAAGAAAAAAAGAGAAACUACGACAAAGCCAGCUCAAGGAACGGAAAUAGUCAAGCGAGGCAUAGCAUACUGCUACUUCAUUAUUCAGCAACAUUAUUCCAUCACCGUUCCUACCAGACACCCCCAAAAAUCCACAGGAUAUGGGCUGCUCUCCUGGCCGUCCAGGGCGUAUAGCUACGCCCCAUGCGCCGGGCAGUCGAAGGUGUCGCCGCUGCUCAGGAGGUGGAGCUUGCAGUUCUUGCCGUUCUUGGGCGCGCACUGGCAGUCGCAGAUGUCCAGCUCCUGGGAGGGGUAGUUGUCGCAGGUGAUGUACCCGCCCUGGAAGCACUGCACCCCGCACGCCGCCCCCGUCUUCUUCCCAUCGGCCUCGCCGAACACGACGAGCCCUGCAGAGUGCACAAGCAUAUGAUGCAUUAGAUGGGCAACACGGUUACAAAUCAUGCACAGGAUCGGAGAUGCCGGCCGGCGGCGUACCGGAAAGGAGGAGGAUGAAAGCAAAGGAGAGCUUCAUGGAGGCCAUCUUCUUCAGUUGGCUUAGCUCGCGGUGUGUGCUGCCACAGCACCCUGACAGAGAUCGACG
rnacentral:lncRNA from 1 species